CCUCUUAUAAAGCCAGGUCAAUCACACAGUAAUUUCCCUUUGUUUAACGGUCAUUUUUAUAGCAUUGUUUUCGCUGGCCUGAUAACUGAAGAGAUGCCUGCAUGGGUUUCCGCCCUGACAUCCAAAACUGGGAGUUUUCUCAUGGCUACCGAAUAACUGUCACA